UGGGGAAUCUUCCGCAAUGGACGAAAGUCUGACGGAGCAACGCCGCGUGAGUGAUGACGGCCUUCGGGUUGUAAAGCUCUGUUAAUCGGGACGAAUGGUUCUUGUGCAAAUAGUGCGAGGAUUUGACGGUACCGGAAUAGAAAGCCACGGCUAACUACGUGCCAGCAGCCGCGGUAAUACGUAGGUGGCAAGCGUUGUCCGGAAUUAUUGGGCGUAAAGCGCGCGCAGGCGGAUUGGUCAGUCUGUCUUAAAAGUUCGGGGCUUAACCCCGUGAUGGGAUGGAAACUGCCAAUCUAGAGUAUCGGAGAGGAAAGUGGAAUUCCUAGUGUAGCGGAGAAAUGCGUAGAUAUUAGGAAGAACACCAGUGGCGAAGGCGACUUUCUGGACGAAAACUGACGCUGAGGCGCGAAAGCCAGGGGAGCGAACGGG
rnacentral:rRNA from 1 species